ACGUAGGGGGCAAGCGUUGUCCGGAAUUAUUGGGCGUAAAGGGCGUGUAGGUGGCUCGUGAAGUCAGGAGUGAAAGCCCGGGGCUCAACCCCGGGACUGCUUUUGAAACCAGCGGGCUUGAGUACAGGAGAGGGAAGUGGAAUUCCCAGUGUAGCGGUGAAAUGCGUAGAUAUUGGGAGGAACACCAGUGGCGAAAGCGGCUUCCUGGCCUGUAACUGACACUGAGGCGCGAAAGCGUGGGGAGCAAACAG
rnacentral:rRNA from 1 species